rnacentral:rRNA from 1 species
AUUGAACGCUGGCGGCAUGCCUUACACAUGCAAGUCGAACGGCAGCAUAGGAGCUUGCUCCUGAUGGCGAGUGGCGAACGGGUGAGUAAUAUAUCGGAACGUGCCCUAGAGUGGGGGAUAACUAGUCGAAAGACUAGCUAAUACCGCAUACGAUCUACGGAUGAAAGUGGGGGAUCGCAAGACCUCAUGCUCCUGGAGCGGCCGAUAUCUGAUUAGCUAGUUGGUGGGGUAAAAGCCUACCAAGGCGACGAUCAGUAGCUGGUCUGAGAGGACGACCAGCCACACUGGGACUGAGACACGGCCCAGACUCCUACGGGAGGCAGCAGUGGGGAAUUUUGGACAAUGGGGGCAACCCUGAUUCAGCAAUGCCGCGUGAGUGAAGAAGGCCUUCGGGUUGUAAAGCUCUUUUGUCAGGGAAGAAACGGUAGUAGCUAAUAUCUAUUACUAAUGACGGUACCUGAAGAAUAAGCACCGGCUAACUACGUGCCAGCCGCCGCAGUAA